rnacentral:rRNA from 1 species
ACGAACGCUGGCGGCGUGCUUAAGACAUGCAAGUCGAACGGAAAGGCCCUGCUUUUGUGGGGUGCUCGAGUGGCGAACGGGUGAGUAACACGUGAGUAACCUGCCCUUGACUUUGGGAUAACUUCAGGAAACUGGGGCUAAUACCGGAUAGGAGCUCCUGCUGCAUGGUGGGGGUUGGAAAGUUUCGGCGGUUGGGGAUGGACUCGCGGCUUAUCAGCUUGUUGGUGGGGUAGUGGCUUACCAAGGCUUUGACGGGUAGCCGGCCUGAGAGGGUGACCGGCCACAUUGGGACUGAGAUACGGCCCAGACUCCUACGGGAGGCAGCAGUGGGGAAUAUUGCACAAUGGACGGAAGCCUGAUGCAGCAACGCCGCGUGCGGGAUGACGGCCUUCGGGUUGUAAACCGCCUUCGCCUGUGACGAAGCGUGAGUGACGGUAAUGGGUAAAGAAGCACCGGCUAACUACGUG